GACGUAGGAGGCGAGCGUUAUCCGGAUUCACUGGGCGUAAAGCGCAUGUAGGCGGACGAACAAGUCGUGUGUGUAAGCCCCCGGCUCAACCGGGGGAGGUCAUGCGAGACUGUUGGUCUGGAGGACAGCAGAGGCACGUGGAACUCCCGGUGUAGCGGUGGAAUGCGUAGAGAUCGGGAAGAACACCAGUGGCGAAGGCGACGUGCUGGGCUGUUUCUGACGCUGAGAUGCGAAAGUGUGGGGAGCAAACGGG
rnacentral:rRNA from 1 species